rnacentral:snoRNA from 1 species
CCUGCCCUUGUAGGUGUGGCUGCUGUGUCACAUGGACGUCAGGAGGUGGCAGAGAGGAGAGUGGCUAUGUCUAUGCUCAGUGUUCUGACCUAUGGACAUCUGAAGGAUUAGAAGGCUGACAUU